GAUGAACGCUGGCGGCGUGCCUAAUACAUGCCAGUCGAGCGAACGGACGAGAAGCUUGUUUCUCUGAUGUUAGCGGCGGACGGGUGAGUAACACGUGGAUAACCCACCUAUAAGACUGGGAUAACUUCGGGAAACCGUAGCUAAUACCGGAUAAUAUUUUGAACCGCAUGGUUCAAAAGUGAAAGACGGUCUUGCUGUCACUUAUAGAUGGAUCCGCGCUGCAUUAGCUAGUUGGUAAGGUCACGGCUUACCAAGGCAACGAUGCAUAGCCGACCUGAGAGGGUGAUCGGCCACACUGGAACUGAGACACGGUCCAGACUCCUACGGGAGGCAGCAGUAGGGAAUCUUCCGCAAUGGGCGAAAGCCUGACGGAGCAACGCCGCGUGAGUGAUGAAGGUCUUCGGAUCGUAAAACUCUGUUAUUAGGGAAGAACAUAUGUGUAAGUAACUGUGCACAUCUUGACGGUACCUAAUCAGAAAGCCACGGCUAACUACGUG
rnacentral:rRNA from 1 species